rnacentral:rRNA from 1 species
ACGUAGGUGGCAAGCGUUGUCCGGAUUUAUUGGGCGUAAAGCGAGCGCAGGCGGUUCCUUAAGUCUGAUGUGAAAGCCCACGGCUCAACCGUGGAAGGUCAUUGGAAACUGGGGAACUUGAGUGCAGAAGAGGAGAGUGGAAUUCCAUGUGUAGCGGUGAAAUGCGUAGAUAUAUGGAGGAACACCAGUGGCGAAGGCGACUCUCUGGUCUGUAACUGACGCUGAGGCUCGAAAGCGUGGGGAGCAAACAGG